AGAGUUUGAUCCUGGCUCAGGAUAAACGCUGGCGGCGUGCCUAACACAUGCAAGUCGAACGCGCUCAGCAAUGAGCGAGUGGCGGACGGGUGAGUAACACGUGGGAACCUACCUUGAGGUGAGGGAUACCGGCGAGAAAUCGCCGACAAGACCGCAUAGGCUUCCAAUGGAAGCAAAGCUUCUUUUCGGAGGAGCGCCCC
rnacentral:rRNA from 1 species